rnacentral:rRNA from 1 species
AGAGCGAAUGGUGGAUGCCUUGACUGGUAAAGGCGAUGAAGGACGUACUAGACUGCGAUAAGCUACGGGGAGCUGUCAAGAAGCUUUGAUCCGUAGAUUUCCGAAUGGGGCAACCCAAUGUAUAGAGAUAUACAUUACCUAUAUAGGAGCGAACGAGGGGAAUUGAAACAUCUUAGUACCCUCAGGAAAAGAAAUCAAUAGAGAUUGCGUCAGUAGCGGCGAGCGAAAGCGCAAGAGGGCAAACCCAGUGCUUGCACUGGGGGUUGUAGGACUGCAAUAUGCAAGAGGUAAGUUUAGCAGAACAUUCUGGAAAGUAUAACCAUAGAGGGUGAUAGUCCCGUAUGCGAAAAACAAACCUUAGCUAGCAGUAUCCUGAGUAGGGCGGGACACGAGGAAUCCUGUCUGAAUCCGGGUCGACCACGAUCCAACCCUAAAUACUAAUACCAGAUCGAUAGUGCACAAGUACCGUGAGGGAAAGGUGAAAAGAACUGAGGUGAUCAGAGUGAAAUAGAACCUGAAACCAUUUGCUUACAAUCAUUCAGAGCCCUAUGUAGCAAUACAGGGUGAUGGACUGCCUUUUGCAUAAUGAGCCUGCGAGUUGUGGUGUCUGGCAAGGUUAAGCAAACGCGAAGCCGUAGCGAAAGCGAGUCUGAAUAGGGCGCUUAGUCAGAUGCUGCAGACCCGAAACGAAGUGAUCUAUCCAUGAGCAAGUUGAAGCUAGUGUAAGAACUAGUGGAGGACUGAACCCAUAGGCGUUGAAAAGCCCCGGGAUGACUUGUGGAUAGGGGUGAAAGGCCAAUCAAACUUCGUGAUAGCUGGUUCUCUCCGAAAUAUAUUUAGGUAUAGCGUUGUGUCGUAAUAUAAGGGGGUAGAGCACUGAAUGGGCUAGGGCAUACACCAAUGUACCAAACCCUAUCAAACUCCGAAUACCUUAUAUGUAAUCACAGCAGUCAGGCGGCGAGUGAUAAAAUCCGUCGUCAAGAGGGAAACAACCCAGACUACCAGCUAAGGUCCCUAAGUCUUACUUAAGUGGAAAACGAUGUGAAGUUACUUAAACAACCAGGAGGUUGGCUUAGAAGCAGCCAUCCUUUAAAGAAAGCGUAAUAGCUCACUGGUCUAGUGAUUUUGCGCGGAAAAUAUAACGGGGCUAAAGUAAGUACCGAAGCUGUAGACUUNAAGUGGUAGGAGAGCGUUCUAUUUGCGUCGAAGGUAUACCGGUAAGGAGUGCUGGAGCGAAUAGAAGUGAGCAUGCAGGCAUGAGUAGCGAUAAUUAAUGUGAGAAUCAUUAACGCCGUAAACCCAAGGUUUCCUACGCGAUGCUCGUCAUCGUAGGGUUAGUCGGGUCCUAAGUCGAGUCCGAAAGGGGUAGACGAUGGCAAAUUGGUUAAUAUUCCAAUACCAACAUUAGUGUGCGAUGGAAGGACGCUUAGGGCUAAGGGGGCUAGCGGAUGGAAGUGCUAGUCUAAGGUCGUAGGAGGUUAUACAGGCAAAUCCGUAUAACAAUACUCCGAGAACUGAAAGGCUUUUUGAAGUCUUCGGAUGGAUAGAAGAACCCCUGAUGCCGUCGAGCCAAGAAAAGUUUCUAAGUUUAGCUAAUGUUGCCCGUACCGUAAACCGACACAGGUGGGUGGGAUGAGUAUUCUAAGGCGCGUGGAAGAACUCUCUUUAAGGAACUCUGCAAAAUAGCACCGUAUCUUCGGUAUAAGGUGUGGUUAGCUUUGUAUUAGGAUUUACUCCGAAAGCAAGGAAACUUACAACAAAGAGUCCCUCCCGACUGUUUACCAAAAACACAGCACUCUGCUAACUCGUAAGAGGAUGUAUAGGGUGUGACGCCUGCCCGGUGCUCGAAGGUUAAUUGAUGGGGUUAGCAUUAGCGAAGCUCUUGAUCGAAGCCCGAGUAAACGGCGGCCGUAACUAUAACGGUCCUAAGGUAGCGAAAUUCCUUGUCGGUUAAAUACCGACCUGCAUGAAUGGCGUAACGAGAUGGGAGCUGUCUCAAAGAGGGAUCCAGUGAAAUUGUAGUGGAGGUGAAAAUUCCUCCUACCCGCGGCAAGACGGAAAGACCCCGUGGACCUUUACUACAGCUUGACACUGCUACUUGGAUAAGAAUGUGCAGGAUAGGUGGGAGGCUUUGAGUAUAUGACGCCAGUUGUAUAUGAGCCAUUGUUGAGAUACCACUCUUUCUUAUUUGGGUAGCUAACCAGCUUGAGUUAUCCUCAAGUGGGACAAUGUCUGGUGGGUAGUUUGACUGGGGCGGUCGCCUCCCAAAUAAUAACGGAGGCUUACAAAGGUUGGCUCAGAACGGUUGGAAAUCGUUCGUAGAGUAUAAAGGUAUAAGCCAGCUUAACUGCAAGACAUACAAGUCAAGCAGAGACGAAAGUCGGUCUUAGUGAUCCGGUGGUUCUGUGUGGAAGGGCCAUCGCUCAAAGGAUAAAAGGUACCCCGGGGAUAACAGGCUGAUCUCCCCCAAGAGCUCACAUCGACGGGGAGGUUUGGCACCUCGAUGUCGGCUCAUCGCAUCCUGGGGCUGGAGCAGGUCCCAAGGGUAUGGCUGUUCGCCAUUUAAAGCGGUACGCGAGCUGGGUUCAGAACGUCGUGAGACAGUUCGGUCCCUAUCUGCCGUGGGCGUAAGAAGAUUGAAGAGAUUUGACCCUAGUACGAGAGGACCGGGUUGAACAAACCACUGGUGUAGCUGUUGUUCUGCCAAGAGCAUCGCAGCGUAGCUAAGUUUGGAAAGGAUAAACGCUGAAAGCAUCUAAGCGUGAAGCCAACUCUAAGAUGAAUCUUCUCUAAGCUCUCUAGAAGACUACUAGUUUGAUAGGCUGGGUGUGUAAUGGAUGAAAGUCCUUUAGCUGACCAGUACUAAUAGAGCGUUUGGCUUAUCU